rnacentral:rRNA from 1 species
UGCAGUCGUGCGCGAAAGGCCCUUCGGGGCCGAGUAGAGCGGCGAAAGGGUGAGUAACGCAAGGAUAACCUUCCCUUGGAACGGGAAUAGCUGGCCGAAAGGCUUGGUAAUACCCGGUAACGUCCGUCUGACGCAUGUCAGACUGACCAAAGGUGGGGCUUCCUCGUGAACCUGCCGUCCGAGGAGGGGUCCUUGCCCUAUCAGCUAGUUGGUAGGGUAAUAGCCUACCAAGGCAACGACGGGUAGCCGGCCUGAGAGGGCGGCCGGCCACACUGGGACUGAGACACGGCCCAGAGCCCUACGGGGCGCAGCAGCCUUGAAUCAUCCGCAAUGGGCGAAAGCCUGACGGUGCGACGCCGCGUGGGGGAAGAAGGCCUUCGGGUUGUAAACCCCUGUCACGAAGGAUGAAUCGGAAGGGUGAUAAUACCGCCUUUCCCUGACCAAUCUCGAGAGGAAGCAGCGGCUAACUGCGUGCCAGCAGCAGCGGUGACACGUAGGCUGCAAGCGUUGCUCGGUUUCACUGGGCGUGAAGGGCGUGUAGGCGGCUCGAUAAGUCAGGUGUGAAAUCCUCCGGCUUAACCGGAGAACUGCGCCUGAUACUGCCGGGCUUGAGUGCAGGAGGGGGGAGUGGAACUCCUGGUGGAGCGGUGAAAUGCGUUGAUAUCAGGAGGAACGCCGGUGACGAAGGUGACUCCCUAGCCUGUAACUGACGCUGAGGCGCGAAAGCUGGGGGAGCGAACGGGAUUANAUACCCCGGUAGUCCCAGCC